rnacentral:rRNA from 1 species
UACGUAGGGUGCGAGCGUUAAUCGGAAUUACUGGGCGUAAAGGGCGCGUAGGCGGCGUGACAAGUCACUUGUGAAAUCUCCGGGCUUAACCCGGAACGGUCAAGUGAUACUGUCGUGCUAGAGUACAGAAGGGGCAACUGGAAUUCUCGGUGUAGCGGUGAAAUGCGUAGAUAUCGAGAGGAACACCUGCGGCGAAGGCGGGUUGCUGGGCUGAUACUGACGCUGAGGCGCGAAAGCCAGGGGAGCGAACGGG